AGUUAAUUGAAAUCAAUUUUUUGAUAGUUAUUUUACUGUUACAACCAUUAUUGAAAUUUCACUUUAUUUCUAAUUAUCAAAAUAUCAAUUAUCAAACUUUACCACAUUCCCAUCAGCUUGUGUUUGUGAAAAAGGGGAAAACUGGGCCAUAGGAUUUUCCUCAUCCCAAUUUCCUCUCUCUCUCGCGCGCUCCCUCUCUCCCUUUGUUCACUUGUGCAUUCCGUGAGUAAUUGUAGGUACUUUCUGUGUUCCCAUUUUAUGCUUAUGCAGAUUUUUCAACCUGGUUAAUUUUAAUAAUUUUGCUGCUGUUGUUCCAUUUUCACCUACGGAUGCUAAUCAGUUUUAUGGGUUUUGAAUUCAUUGAUUGAAGAAUACAAUUGAAACACCAACAACCUAUCUAAUGAGCUCCAGGAAUACCCUUCUGCACAUUAUUUUCAAAAAUUAUAAUUAUGAUAUACUUUUUAUUUGAUCAUAGAACAGGAUAUAUCCUAUGUGGGGGACUGUUCUUUUUUGCCAUUUAAUAACACUGAGUUAAUUGUUCCUUGAUCACCGAAGUUUAAAAUGUUAAGUUUUGAUCACUGAACUUAUGUCAAUGUCUUCAAUUGCUUACCGAACUUAGGUCCAUUUCUUAGAUUGCUCACUGAAGUUUAAAAUAUUGAGUUUUGGCCACCGAACCUUGGAAUAUAUCGUACGUUAUUCACUAGCAAAACUGUUGAAUUUUGUAUAAUAUCGAGUUAUAGUGAGUAAUGUACAGUAUUUUUUAAAGUUCAGUGAGUAACGUAUAAUAUUUUUCAAAAUUUAGUGGUCAAAAUUCGACAUUUUAAAUUUUAGUGAGUAAUCGAAUACAUGAACCUAAAUUCAGUUAUCAAAACUCGACAUUUUAAAUUUCAAUGACUAAUAAAAAACAUGGACAUAAGUUCAGUGACCAUUAGAACAAUUAACUUAGUAGCACCCGGGAUUGGAGAGUAGUAAAGAAGAUAAUAAUUUAAAAUCUUGUUAAUAUAAUUUAUACUGUCUAGUUGUUUCUGUGCCAAAACAUGUCAUUAUUGUUUUCAUUGUUAUUCCCUCCUCAUUUUUCAUUAAUAGUAUGUUUUAAUCAUUUUAUGUUUCAUUUGGACGAUGUGAAUUCUUAAUUUUAUUGCAAUUUUAGUUCAGAUAGAAUAUAUGUUCAUUGUAAAUAACUUGCUUCUCUGUCAAAGUGGAGGGCAGUCAAGCUGAUUGGGUCGGAAAAUCCACCUUAUUCCCAGGCUAACUCCCCGGAUAAUGCUGCUGAUCCUUCCAGGUGAUCGGAAAAUAAAGAAAUGGUUAAAAAAAAAAAAAAGAAAAAGUUUUCGUAGGCGAAUAUAAUUUCGCACGUGAAGGGUGAUUUCUUGGUUUCGUCUCUCUAGACUGAAGUCUCAUCCCAGAUCCGCAGCUUGUAAACUCCGUGCUGAGACCCUUCUUUCAUCAUCAAAAAAUAAGAGAUUUUAUCAAAAUUUAUAUAUUUUCAAACUUAAGCCAGAUUUUCGAUGAGUUUUUUAACAGAAUUGUGGCUUGAUGUCUUAGUGAGUUAAUCUUGAAGGGAUUUCAAAGAAAGUAGCCACCAGUUGAGCCUAUUAACUUUGUCCUUUACUGUAUUAUCCUAUUGACUUGAAAUUGAUUAGUGAGUCUUAAUAUGUGCUCAAAUUUGGCUCAGUUAUGAAUCAAUGUGAACCUGAAGUUUAAGCAACUUGAUUAAUUAUGCAAUCCAAUCUAGAGAAGCUCAACGUGACCAUUUUGAAAAUGUACGAGGCUAAAGUGAGAUUAGUUUCAAACCACAUAGAUUGAAUGAGCAUUACUCAAAUGAUAAAAUGAAAUUGGCAACAAACUAAUCGAUUCAUCUUUAUUCUUUUCUGAGCCAUCAGCAAUGGCAGCGAAGCUACUAAUUUCUCCUCUCUUCUCGUUGCACAGUUCCGACCCAAGACCAGCACCACAUUCACCCAUGGCUUGGACGUGGACGCUUGUCAACAAGAAACAGGAGCCUCAUACUUCGAGUGUCGUCCUCCCUUGACAAUGAGAUUUUAUCAUCCACUUCUUCAGCUGUCCUGCAUAAUCUGCACCACUACCCGCAGUCUCUUACCUAUUGGCAGAUACUGCAGGAAACUCAUUGGCCAGUUACUAUACUUCUCUUGGUCUCUUUAUUAUUUCCGUUCCUGGCCUUUGGUCCCUUAUCAAGUGCUCAGUUAAAUCUAAGUUACCAAACUGUUAUGUCCAUUUUUACUCUGGACUAUACCAAAAUGCGAUACAGGAAGCAUGUUUGGCUAAGUUUAAAAAGUUCUACUCAUAAGUUCUAAAGUAACUUUUUACAUCGAUCAAAGUGAGAUAUAAGUAAGCUAUUCAUUUUGACAUAAUGAUAGAUUUACUUACAAAAUAAGUUUGUUUUUACUAAAGUAAGACAAAAUCAAGUUAUCCCAUAUUCGGAAAUUCGACGUUACUUAAAAGUAACUUUUACGUAUUUUAAGCUUUUCAAACAUGCUUUUAUAGGUUGAGAGUGAUUUUAUUUUCUUCAUCUCUGAUACGUUUUUUUAUUUUGCUUUACUUGAAACUAUCCAAAUUGCCUUUUCAUUCUUAGAACAGAUUGUGCAAAAGACAUUCAUAGGAGAAGGGAAGGGGGAGAAGGCUCCUAACCAAGUGGAAGGAGAAAUUCUUUCAUUCUUUACUUGAAAUAAUUUUGUGGUGUUGGAUAGAGGAGAUUCGAUAACGUAAGCCACUAAUUCUAUCACAUGUUCCUUAAAAGUAGUGUUUGAUAACAAAAUCUCUUUAUGCAACAACCUUGCAUGCGGUAAAUUUCAGAAUUGUAACGUUUUCACAUCUGAAGAAUUUCAAUGUCAAUAUUUAGUUCAACUAGAUGAAAUAUGACCAAGGGUUAAUGAGAACUUGCAGCACCAUAAAUUCUCAUGCUCAUAUACUUCAAUUGAUAUUUUCCUUCUCAGCUUUUGUAAUUGGUAAAUAGCAUGCUUAUCAUCAUGGUUUAUGUUAAUUUAUAGCUUAGGAGAAGUUUUCAAGUUCUUCCAUGUAUAAGAACAUCCAAAAAGCCACUUUUCCCGGAUGCUCUUCUUUUAGAAAAGUGAUGGCUAAUUCUUCUAUUACUGUUGGUUAUGCUCAACCAGUACCAAUGGGUUGGUUGUCUUUCAUAAUCACUUAACUGAUUGCAGAUCCAAAUGGUAGUAUACACUUAUUCUCCAACUAUGGAUUGCCCUAAACCGUUUUCUCUUAGACAUACAAAAAUUGUAAGAUAGCCAUGGUAAAAUUUAGUUUUCUUCAUAGUGAAAAACCUGCCAUUAUAAAACUCUGUUUUCUUGCAUGUUUCUGAUAUUUCGUUGUGCUUAUUUUUAUAACAUGUUUCUAUUUACUUUACGUUUGAAGGUACUAUGGUUCCAAGCCGUGGCCAAGCAGCAUUGCUCACUUUUUGUGCCAGCACAAGUCUGGCAAGUGUUGCCCUUGUUUUGACAAUUACUCUUCCAGACAUAGGAAACAAUUGGUUCUGGUUGACUAUAUUAAGGUCCUGUUUGACCCACAUUCUUUCCAAAAAAUACAUUCUUAAGUAGUGGUUUGAUAUCAUUUUAACCACAUAUUCUUCAAUAAAAUAAUAUUAAACACAAAUUCUGAACUUUUCCUUAUUUUUAACUACAUAUUUUUCAUCAAUACACUAUUCAAAAAUGCAUUUUAUAGAAAUAAUGUGGCUCAAACAAGGGCUAAGUCAUCUAGCGUUAGUUAUUUCCUCUUGAAACCGAGACUACAUUGUCUAACAUGUAAAAUGGAUUUGGGGAGUGUAUUAUUGGAUGAAAGCAUCUAGAAAGGAGCGGAUCAAGGUCAAAAUGAUAGUAGGAGAUGAUGGAACCCUGUCGGAGAUAAUUGUACAAGGUGAUGACCAACAAGUGGAGCAAAUGAGAAAGGAGCUCCAGUUCAGUGAAAAAGGCAUGGUUUAUGUGAAGGGCAUUUUUGAAAGCUGAAAUUAGAUGUCAUCUCAUGUCUUAGGUUGUUCUUUGUUUUGAUUUCUCAUAAGAAAGUUUUGAUGUGUAAUUUGUGUAUAAAUAUGUAUGUCACUAAUGUUCUAUUUAGAACGAGCACAACAUGAAUUCUUAUACACAUUUCAUUGUUGUGGUUUUGAACUAGUUUUCAAUGUAUCAUGUUUUUUAAAUUUAGUUUUUUGUUUGGUAAAAAUUAAAGUUUAGAUUUUAAUCUAAAUCAUAGUGAAU
rnacentral:lncRNA from 1 species